rnacentral:rRNA from 1 species
CCUACGUGAGGCAGCAGUGAGGAAUAUUGGUCAAUGGGCGCGAGCCUGAACCAGCCAAGUCGCGUGAAGGAUGACUGCCCUACGGGUUGUAAACUUCUUUUAUAAAGGAAUAAAGUGAGGCACGUGUGCCUUUUUGUAUGGACUUUAUGAAUAAGGAUCGGCUAACUCCGUGCCAGCAGCCGCGGUAAUACGGAGGAUCCGAGCGUUAUCCGGAUUUAUUGGGUUUAAAGGGAGCGUAGAUGGGUUGUUAAGUCAGUUGUGAAAGUUUGCGGCUCAACCGUAAAAUUGCAAUUGAUACUGGCAGUCUUGAGUACAGUUGAGGUAGGCGGAAUUCGUGGUGUAGCGGUGAAAUGCUUAGAUAUCACGAAGAACUCCGAUUGCGAAGGCAGCUUACUAAACUGCCACUGACAUUGAUGCUCGAAAGUGUGGGUAUCAAACAGGAUUAGAUACCCUAGUAGUC